ACCAAUUCUGGAGGAUGGUUUUGUUCCUCAUGGUAUAAUGGCUCUCGCGCAACAUGCUACUCUAGAUGUGUGGUCAUAUCCUGAUUCAUGGUGUUCUUAUGCCAAUCCAAUCCUGGAAAGGUCGCAUAUAUUC
rfam:Zea mays cultivar B73 chromosome 1, whole genome shotgun sequence.